ensembl:miRNA MIR7-1 microRNA 7-1
UGGAAGACUAGUGAUUUUGUUGUUUUUAGUUAGAGCAACCGACAACAAAUCACAGUCUGCCAAA